ACCCAUCCUCAGCAGCAGAAGCCCUCAACUCAACGGAAUCAGGGGAAGGCGGCGUCGACGGUGCGCAAUCCCGCUCCGGCGCAAUUUAACUUGCGCAGGCCUGGAUGUGCCUCACCUCAAAACCUAGGCAUGCGCCUUCUUGUUCCCUUUUUCUCUCUCUUUGUCAUUCCUUCUUCUGGUGCUGUUGGAAGGCGACUUAAUAGAGUCCGUUGGAGUUUCAGGUUCUACUAUUCAUCUUUUCCCCUCAAAUUUAUAGGUUCUACUUUUGAAUUUUGAGCCAUUUUUCCUUAAUUUCAAUUCUUUCUUGGAACUGCCUUGUUUUCCUGAUUUCUCAAGUUAAUGUAGUUUGAACUACACCCUACCCGUUCGAUAAUCCGUCAAGAAUGCUCCAUCUAGGGUUUGGAUAACAAGUGGUGUACGGUUGAGUGUUUUAAUUUGGUUUAUUGUGUGGUUGUGUUAUGGUUCUGAAUCUUGGUUGGGAUGAAGGGUGUGGAAGUACCCAAUUGGCUAAAAGGGUUGCCCCUGGCACCUGAGUUUCGCCCAACAGACACUGAAUUUGCAGACCCAAUAGCUUAUAUAUCCAAAAUUGAAAGAGAAGCUAGUGCCUUUGGCAUAUGUAAGGUUAUUCCACCAUUGCCCAAACCUUCAAAGAAAUAUGUGAUUUCUAAUUUGAACAAGUCACUUUCAAAGUGCCCGGAGUUAGGUCCGGAUAUAAAAUUGGGGGGUCUUUGUUCUAGACAUAGAACUGAUUCUGGGAAUGAGGCAUUUGAUGGAAAUGCUAGGGCAGUAUUUACCACAAGGCACCAAGAAUUGGGUCAGCAACCAAAAGUAACCAAGAAAGCAUGUCAGCCCCAGCCACUGGCUAGUCGUAUGCAAGUAUGGCAAAGUGGGGAAGUUUAUACGGUGGAGCAGUUUGAGUCUAAGUGCAAGGCUUUUGCACGGAGCCAAUUGGGUAUGCACAAGGAGAUAUCUCCAAUGGUAAUUGAAGCUCUUUUUUGGAAGGCAGCUUCUGAGAAGCCCAUAUGUGUGGAAUAUGCGAAUGAUGUGCCUGGUUCUGGGUUUGGAGAACCAGAGGGAGCAUUUCAGUAUUUUCAUAGGCGGAGGAGGAGGAGGAUGUUCAAUAGGAACAGUGGAGGAAGUUGUGACAGAAAGAAAUAUCAUGUCAAUAAUAGUAAAAGCAGUGAAAACAGAGAUGCAGCGACACCAACUAACAAUAGUCCUAAUUCUUCUAGAGAGAAAUCCCAGGUGCCUAUUAGUUCACCAACUGUGUUGUCUAAUCAAAUGUCUCAAAUUUCUAAACAGAAGGGCUCUAAUACUGCUAAUGAGAUGGAAGGUACUGCUGGUUGGAAGCUUUCAAACAGUCCUUGGAACUUGCAAGUAAUUGCACGCUCACCUGGCUCACUUACCCGUUUUAUGCCAGAUGAUAUUCCAGGUGUUACUUCUCCUAUGGUCUAUAUUGGUAUGUUAUUCAGUUGGUUUGCCUGGCAUGUUGAAGAUCAUGAGCUUCACAGCCUGAAUUUCCUGCACACUGGUUCUCCAAAGACUUGGUAUGCAGUACCAGGAGACUAUGCAUUUUCUUUUGAGGAAGUCAUUCGUAACCAAGCUUACGGAGGAAAUGUUGAUCGAUUAGCUGCUCUUACACUCUUGGGCGAGAAGACUACCCUUCUAUCACCUGAAGAACUUGUUGGUUUGGGCAUUCCAUGUUGUAGGUUAGUACAGAAUCCUGGCGAAUUUGUUGUAACUUUUCCAAGGGCUUACCAUGUAGGGUUUAGCCACGGUUUUAACUGUGGUGAAGCUGCCAACUUUGGAACUUCAAAAUGGCUUGAAGUAGCUAAAGAAGCUGCAGUCCGUAGAGCUGCGAUGAAUUAUCUUCCCAUGCUUUCCCAUCAGCAAUUGCUAUAUCUGUUGACCAUGUCUUUUAUUUCAAGGGUGCCUAGAUCAUUACUACCAGGGGCACGAAACUCUCGUCUGAGAGAUCGCCAGAAGGAAGAAAGAGAGCUAUCAGUUAAGAAGGCUUUUAUAGAAGAUAUUUUAAAUGAAAACAAUCUAUUAACCAUUCUUCUGGGGAAAAACUCUUCUAAUCGUGUGGUAUUGUGGGAUAUGGAAUCUCUACCAUACCCAAGUAAAGGUUCUGAACCGUGCAGCAGCAUUGCUACUGUCACAGAUGCACCAAAAGAAGACAGCUGUUCUGAUAACAAAAACAAUCAGGAUCUACUAAGUGAGAUGAGAUUCUAUAUGGAAAAUGUGAAUGAUUUGUAUGUAGAUGGUGAUGAUGAUGAUUUGUCUAGUGAUUUUCAAGUAGAUUCUGGGACGUUACCAUGUGUGGCUUGUGGGAUUCUUGGCUUUCCAUUAAUGUCUGUGGUCCAACCUUCCGAGAGAGCAUCAACGGACCUUCUGCAAGAUGUAGAAGUGCCAAAACCUGUGGAGUCCCAUUUGCCUCCAGUCCAUGAUGGCAUGGUUGUGGGUUUUGUUUCAGAUGGACCUGUGGAGAAGAUUGAGCAGAAUGAGAGCAAUUUACUUAAACAUUCAAAUGGAGCUUCUUCAAGUCUCAAAUCAAUCAAACCUGUGGUUCAUAUCUCAGGGGAUCUCUUUACUGUUCCUGAUCUUUCACCAAUUCCAAAGGAUCUAUCUAUUUCUUCAGAAGCCAAGUUUCAGAAGGGCUGGCAUUAUACUAGGGGAUUUCUAAGACCGCGAAUAUUUUGCCUGGAGCAUGCAAUUAAAAUUGAGGAGAUGCUGCAUCCAAAAGGUGGAGCAAAUGUCCUUGUGGUUUGCCAUUCAGACUUCCAAAAAAUAAAGGCACAUGCUGCAGUCAUCGCAGAGGAAAUUGGUAGUCCUUUUGAGUAUAAUGAAAUCAGAUUAGAUAAUGCAUCAGAAGCAGAUAUGAACUUGAUUGAUCAUGCAAUUAACGAUGGAGGGCAUGAUGAACGUGGAGGAGACUGGACCUCAAAGCUAAAUGUCAACUUAUGUCACUGUGUGAAAGUCAGAAAAAUUUCUCCAUCUAAGCCGGCGCAGCAUGCAAUGGCAUUGGGUGGGUUAUUUUCUGACAGAACUCCUAGUUCCAACACUUUCAAUCUCAAGUGGCCAUCCAGAAAAUUCCGGUCCAAGCGGAACUUAAAUUAUUCAGUACAUAAGAAACCAUCGGACAGCAUUCAAUUGGAGAACCCAGUCAGGACGAAACCAUCUACGAGCGUUCAACUGCGAACAGAUGAUGUGUUUGGAGUAAACUCAAGUAGCAGAAUGUUGAGAAAAGAAGGUAAACUUAUUCAAUAUUCAAGGAGAAGCUUAAAGUCUAGACCUGCUGGUUCUAUAGCAGCAAGACCGACCAAUGGACACACUACAAAUAAUGUGCAAGAUGAAGCUAUAAUUGCUGAUUGUGGGGGGCCAGAUGGCCGUAGCAUUCACAGAUCUGAGGGUAACAUCUGUAACUUUGAAAUGACCGGGAAGGAGUCUUCAGGUCUCAUUUUAGGUUCUAGCAGUAAACCGGAAUUGCAGAAUAAUAGUGGGGCUCUUGCAGCAGCCAGCAACCUCAGUGGCAAUUAUGUUCCAUCACAAGUUGAUUCACUUGUUGCGGCCACUUCAGGGGUUGAUAACGUUGGGGCACAGAUUGAGGGCAGUGUCUUAGUGGAAAUGGCCAUUGAGGGCAAAGCCAGUGAUCUAACAUUUGGAGGUGGUUCUGAGAUGCAGCAUGACACUAGAGUUGACCAAGGCAGUGAGAAAAAUGAGAAAUUCAAUGCUGACGGGGACAUUAUGAUGGAGGGAGACUUCAAUCUUGCUGACUCUGAACCGUUGUGUGACCCUGUCACGGGGAGUUGUGUUGUUCCAUUAGAUCAACCAACUUGUGUCUCAGUUGAAGAAAAUCUGAAAGUUGCAACUGCAUAUGCUGCUGAGGAGGACCUGAAAGGUGGCCGCUGUGAGAAAUGUUAUUCGCCUGACAAAGGAGAGAUGGAAAAUAGUGGUUCAACUGCAGGAAAUAGAAGGAAAAGACGAAGGGAAGUGGUGGAGAUGCAAACAGAAGCUCAACUUAAUCUCGACUCCUACAUUAGGAGUCCAUGUGAAGGGCUGAGGUCAAGGGCUACUAUGAAUGACGCUAGAAGAGGUGGGACUGACAGUAACGAACAUAAUGAAGAGAAAUCAGCUGGGGGAAAGGUGAAGAGACCUUCAGACGAGAAGAAAGUGACGAGAAAGGGACCCUACCAGUGUGAUAUAGAAGGCUGCCAAAUGAGUUUUCAGACAAAGGCCAGUUUGGUCUUGCACAAACGAAACCUGUGCCCACACGAAGGGUGUGGGAAGAAAUUCAGCUCUCACAAAUAUGCCAUGCUUCAUCAACGCGUGCAUGACGAUGACAGGCCCCUCAAAUGCCCGUGGGAGGGUUGCACCAUGUCGUUCAAGUGGGCGUGGGCUAGGACUGAGCAUUUGCGGGUGCAUACUGGCGAGCGCCCGUACCAGUGCAAGGUCCAAGGCUGCGGCCGCACUUUCAGAGGCAAUGGAACUGGUUGUGCUGGAUUGGAUGCGAAGGGACAUUUAUUGCUAACUUAAUUUGCUUCCAUAAAUACUUUAGCUUGGUCUCCCGCGCCCACCCAACGGAUUUGCUAAUGCGUGGAAUUAUCCAAUUGUGAGGUGGGGAUAUUCAUCUAUAUGGUUCCGUAUUGUUGGUACAUGAAGGUAGCUGUUCAGGGAUAGGAUCUGUCACUUUCGUUGAUAUUGAUAAGGUGGCAGAUUCCAGAGGUAGAAAAAUGGGAGGAAGUUGGAGAUGAGGUGUACGUGCUUGGCUUCUGUUUCUCUAUUUUUUUUUUUUUUGCUUCUGCUCUUGAGAAAUCAUAGAGAAAUGUUGUGUGCUUGGAAAAUUUUGGAGAGUCUAGGGAGACACACAGGUGCUGGUGAGUCGAAAUCCUUAGGCUAGCACAGGACGAGGACCACGACAUAGUGUUGGGUUGCACGCUAGGUGUGGACAAACUAGGCCCUCCACGUGAUGAGGAAGAUUUGAUU